CUACGGGAUGCAGCAGUGGGGAAUAUUGCACAAUGGGCGCAAGCCUGAUGCAGCCACGCCGCGUGUAUGAAGAAGGCCUUCGGGUUGUAAAGUACUUUCAGCGGGGAGGAAGGGAGUAAAGUUAAUACCUUUGCUCAUUGACGUUACCCGCAGAAGAAGCACCGGCUAACUCCGUGCCAGCAGCCGCGGUAAUACGGAGGGUGCAAGCGUUGAUCGGAAUUACUGGGCGUAAAGCGCACGCAGGCGGUUUGUUAAGUCAGAUGUGAAAUCCCCGGGCUCAACCUGGGAACUGCAUCUGAUACUGGCAAGCAUGAGUCUCGUAGAGGGGGGUAGAAUUCCAGGUGUAGCGGUGAAAUGCGUAGAGAUCUGGAGGAAUACCGGUGGCGAAGGCGGCCCCCUGGACGAAGACUGACGCUCAGGUGCGAAAGCGUGGGGAGCAAACAGGAUUAGAUACCCCUGUAGUC
rnacentral:rRNA from 1 species